rnacentral:snRNA from 1 species
GUGCUCGCUUCGGCAGCACACAUGCUGAAAUUGGAACGAUACACAGAUUAGCAUGGCCCCUGCACAAGGAUGACAUGCAAAUUCGUGAAGCAUUCCAUAUUAAA